AAACCUUCUCAAACAAAGCUCAUGAUCCUCAGUUUGGGGAAACUGAGGCUAACAAGGAUUAAGCAAACUGCUGGGAUUAAAUAGCUUAUUCAUGGCAGGGUCAGGGCUUUAAAUAAGAGCUAGUGGCCUCUGGAAUCGAGAUAUCUGCCGAUUUUAGAUUCCAGAACCCACUCUUGGCCUUACCCAUCUCACUCCUCCUCCACCAAGAAGGAAGAACAAAGGAAACCUCCCAUUUGCAAGGUUCUCAGCAUCCUGUGUCACCAUGACAACGAGCUCUAGUCAAUUUCCUCACAAGGAGGGGAAAAGCAAAAGUCAAACAAAGCUUCUGUGGAACAUUCUGUGGGCAAACACCGGGGCCAGUGUGCUUGGGCCUCUCUGUCCUCGAUCAAAUAGGGUGAAUCACUCCUGGCAUUGGAGCUGGGAGACGGGCCAGGUUCCUAAAUAGACGCCUGGUUGCAAUAGCACUGGCCAGACUCCAGAAGAAAUUUCCAUGAAGAAUUCACUCUUGGCCCCCGAGGUGGAACAGCAAGAUCAAGAAGGGAAUAGUGAUUAUCCUGGGAUACAAGUUGUUAUGGUGAUGAGAGAAAUGCUCAACUGGAUGGAGAUUGGGAAAGAUGUCGCAAAGAGAAGAGGCUAGCCUGAUGUCUCUCAAUUGUUAACACAAGAAGAGGACGCCCAGAGACACACAGAGAAUGCCAUGUGAAGACGGAAGCAGAGUUUGGAGUGAUGUCUACACACCAAGGAACACCCGGAAUUGCCGGCAGCCAUUCCCAGAAGCUCCCUCAGAGGCACUGGAAGGAACCAACCUUCCCAAAAACUUGAUUUUGAACUUCUGGCCUCCUG
rnacentral:lncRNA from 1 species